rnacentral:misc_RNA from 1 species
AAAGUCGUAACAAGGUUUCCGUAGGUGAACCUGCGGAAAGAUCAUUAACACGUAUCCACGUAUCAAAACCCCUCUGUGCAAACCUCUUACGUUAGGCUUGUUUGGAGUUAGUAUUCACUCAAUCUUAAUGAUGGGAGUCCCCUCGGGGGAGGGCUCGGGAUCUAUGUGUUUACCGCGUUUGACAAUCGGGCCGCUAUUUUUUCAUCGUUAGCCCUUCACCCAAUUUCUUUUGUACUGAACCAAUUCUUCCGAGUUUCGGCUUAAGAUAAAGAACAACUCUUAGCAACGGAUAUCUUGGUUCCC